rnacentral:rRNA from 1 species
GUCUAUGGCCAUGCCACCCUGAACAAGCCUGAUGUCUGAUCUCAGAAGCUAAGCAGGGUCGGACCUGGUUAAUACUUGGAUGGGAGACCACCUAGGAAGACCAGGUGCUGUAGGCA